CUCCUGACUUCCAGGCUGGGGAGAGGUGACAGCUCUGGUGAGCACGAGCCCUCCCUGCAGCAGCCUGCCCACCCCAGAGCCUCUGCAGGCAAAAAUCCCCUCUGGAAGGGGGUGGGCAGCAGAUCCCCAGCCUGGACAGGCCUUGGCAUCUCCCCAGGGAGUGACAAACCUGCUCUGGAAGUGACAAACCAAAGUCCAAAGACUCGCUGCUCCCUAAGGGACUGGCGCUGCCAUCAAAGGAGCCCCUCGGCUGCCACCACGCUCAGGAGCGGAGGCUUUGAAAGGAAAGCAGCUCUAGUUCAGUGCCAGAAUUUUCCAGUUUUAUUUAUGAAGCUGUUCUAGAUACAGAUUAACUUCCCCUGCCUCCUGUUGGUCAUUAACUCUGGGAGAAGCUGAGCUCUGGAGGGUUCGUUGCUCCAGGAGAGGGCCUCAUCCUGGCUCCAGGAUCAUGGAUUGGGCACUCUCAGCCCAUCUUCAGCCUCCUUGGGCUCUUUAGGGAGGAACGUGGCACCAGGAAUCCUUGAAGGAACGGGAUGUGACAGGAAGCAGUGGCAGUCAGCAGGGUGAUGGUGAUGGACAGGAGCUACCCCUCUCCUUGCCACCUGACACAAUGGCACCAAAACUCUGGUUAUUUGUAUCGUUGCUCUCAGUGUCCCUGGGACUUAGCAAACUCUUUUAACAACACGCCUUUCCUGAGGUUUCCAUGCAAAUCAAUGCAAAUAAAGUUAAUUAAUAUUAUUAA